AUUCUUGAUUUGGGUGGUAGUUAAAUGAGGAGUAGUUUGAUAAAUAUAAAUAUAUGCUUAGGAUUUGCAUAUUCCAUUGUAUGCAAAUUAUACUGCAAUUUAAAAAACACCCAAAAGAUAAAAAACAUCUGAGCAGAGAGUGGUUGGCUCUGUUUUCAUCUGAGGCAUGGCAGCAGGCAAGGCCAUAGGGAAAAGCCUGUGGCCCAGCACAGGUCAGGGCCAGAUCCUCAUUCUCACAUCCUUCAGUAAUUUCUAGUUGCUUAGAACCUGCUGCUUUCAAUGCAUUUUGGGAAAGUUUUUGGCUUUUAGAGACAAACAGGAUGACCUGAACUGAAAGGAGGGGGAGACUCAGCUCUACAGCUGAAGUAAUAAUGAAAAACACAGCCACAAGUUAACUAGUAGAAGAACAAAUGCCCUGGAACAUUCUGGCAGAGGGGCCUAGAAUUCUGGAAAGUCGCUCAUGAAACGUGUAUUGGUUCACUGAUUUGUGCCUUCCGAAAGGAGACGUUUCUAUAGUGAAGUUUCUGAAGACAGAUGUGUAAGUGCCACAAGCCUGGUGCCCCAGGGCUGUUUAUAGCACCCUGACAACCACUGUCAUUUCCCCUUGGCUCCCGGAACAGUGCUCUCUGCUCAGGGAGGGGGUUUCUGUCAGCGAGGCUGCCUAGCCAUGGCUCAGUGUCCUUAGCUACCCACAGGAAAACACAUCUUUUCUCUCUAAGCCACAUGACCUCCUCUGGUGGAACAGAACAGUUACCUAAGAGUUUACAGGACAAACAUUACAAACCGCCUCCCUGAGGGGGUGUUAGAAUCGUCACUGGUCCAGGCAGGAAGCUUGGAAUCUGAGCAGCCACCCUUCCUGCAGAGAACCCUGGAGACAGAGACUCCAGGCCCACGCUUAUCUCCGGAGGCCAGAACCCUGCGGAGAGAGAAAGAACGAGGGGGGCGGGGGGGGGGGGGCACGGUGAGGGGAGGAAUCCAGCUCUCUCUCCAGAAAACAGGAGUACAGGAAAACGAUCCCACUGCUCUUUCUCCUGGGAGCCACUGUAGGGAUGGAUAAAAACUGUGGCCAAUAAAGGUCUCAGUUUUAGGUGAUAGUUAGGAAGA
rnacentral:lncRNA from 12 species